rfam:Oryza glumipatula chromosome 6, whole genome shotgun sequence.
AAAAAAACAAAUCCUAAAUUUUCAUGGCCAACGUUUAACUUUUCGUCUUAUUUAAAAAAAAUAUAAAAAGACAAGUCACGCAUAAAGUAUUAAUCUUGUUUUAUCAUCUAACAAUAAUGAAAGUAUUAAUUAUAAAAAAAUUUUAUAUAAGACGGACAGUUAAAUGUUGAACACGAAAAUCCAGAUUUAAAUCCAGG